GCUUGUUAGAGCUGUGAAUAAUUUUACAUUUUACAUAUUAGUGGCAUCACCACUCUACCUCCUCUUUCUAUCUUCCAUUCUACUGUCAACUCUACUGUCGUCCUACUGUCGUCCUACUGUCGUUGGCAAAAAUAGGAGCAAAUUGAAGUUAGCGAGAACGACAACUGUCGGCCUGCAGUCGUGUAGUCGUGCAGCUGUCAAAAUAACACUGCCCAUAAGAACGUGUGUAUUUUAAUAUUUGACAGAUGUAGUUUGCAGUCUGUUGUAGCCAUUGUGUUUACACUUUCAGAGUGAGAAUAUUUUAUUGAAUCACAAUAAAAAAAGGAUUAAACAAGUAAAGAGAAGAAAUCUUUUACUAAAAAGUGAUUUAAAAAAGAAAAGGCGGUCCGUACCAAAAGUGAGCAAUUACCUGAAUAUAAUAAAAAACUAUCCAGAGGAUGUAUUUCAAUCGCAUUUUCGGAUGGCGCGAUCAACUUUUAUGAUAUUGCGAAACUCUAUCCAACCAUAUUGGACCAGGUCAUUGCGCGGCCGGUUGGGGCAUUCCCUUGAAAUGUGCCUUUAUGUAACGCUGUGGAAAUUGGGUAACAGCAACGUCACGUUUCGCGAGCUUAGUGACCGGUUUGGUGUUGCGAAGGGAACCACGCAUAAAAUAUUUUUUAAUCUUAUUAAAAUGGUUUCUUCAUUAAAAAAUGAAAUAACAUGGCCUUCUGCUGUUAAACAAAGGCAAGUAAUGGAACAUUUCGAAAGGAGCCGAUGCAAUCCUUUUUCAUUAUUUUGCAGGCCAUAUGUGACAGUAAAUUUCGCUUUCUGGAUGUAUUUAUUGGAUGUCCAGGCAGUUGCCAUGAUACUCAUGUAUGGAAAACUAGCCCUAUUUAUAAAGGAAUUAUUUCCGGUGAAGUGGAACUUGCUGAAAAUGCAGUCAUUUUAGGAGAUUCUGCCUAUCCUUUAUCAAAAUUCCUGCUCACACCUUACAGAGAUAAUGGGCAUUUAAGAUCGGAAGAAAGAAACUUUAAUUACUGCUUAAGCUCAACUCGUGUUUUUAUCGAGCAGUCGUAUGGAAUUUUGAAACAAAAGUUUUAAAUACUAAAUUAUAUAAACUUGAGGUCAGUCAAAAAAGCAUCAAUGGUAAUAUUUGCCUGUACAAUAUUGCACAACUUUAUUAUAAAUAGAGGAAACCCUUCGAAAUAUCUUGUUGGAUUACCAGAAAAUAAUAACGUCAUAAAUGAAGAAAAUGAAAAUCACCUUAGUACUUCCAUGGCACCUCAAGAAAAUGACGAUUUAGAUGGAAUUGCUAUAAGGCGCAAUUUGACAACGUUGUUUUGUUCUUAAAUAAAUAUAAGUAAAAUACUUAUGAGUGGAA